CGCAUCUGUGCAUGCAGCAUAUCAAUAAGCGGAGGAAAAGAAACUAACAAGGAUUCCCCUAGUAACGGCGAGUGAAGCGGGAAGAGCUCAAAUUUGAAAUCUUAAAGGGUUUCCCUUUACGAAUUGUAGUUUAAAGAAGUGUUUUCUGUUGAGGUUUUGGUAAAAGUUCUUUGGAAUAGGACAUCAUAGAGGGUGAGAAUCCCGUAUUUGACCUUUACUUUCAACUUUGUGAUACACUUUCAAAGAGUCGGAUUGUUUGGGAAUGCAGUCCAAAAUGGGUGGUAAAUUUCAUCUAAAGCUAAAUAUUGGCGAGAGACCGAUAGCGAACAAGUACCGUGAGGGAAAGAUGAAAAGAACUUUGAAAAGAGAGUUAAACAGUACGUGAAAUUGUCAAAAGGGAAGCGUUUGACACCAGUGUUGUUUUUCUGAAAAUCAAUUAAAGAACUGUUUAUGCUAAGCUGUUUAGACUUUAUCAGCUAUCUGUUUAGUUUUGAGCUUUUCUUUAAUGCACUUUUCAGUUAACAAGUCAACAUCAAUUUCUUUUGCUGUAAAAAAGCUUGAGGAAGGUGGCUUGAGAUUCGUCUUAAGUGUUUAUAGCCUCUUGCCUAUGCAGUCGGAGAGAUUGAGGUCUGCAGCGUAGAUCCUUCGGGGCUAAAUGCAUUUGUGCUAAGUUAUAGCAUUUUAUAGACAACUUGUUGACUAUGAUUUGUCUUGUAGCUUACUCGCUUAUGUUAUUUUACCUACGCUUAGGAUGUUGAGCGCAUGUCUCUCUCU
rnacentral:rRNA from 1 species